rnacentral:rRNA from 1 species
CCUACGGGAUGCAGCAGUGGGGAAUAUUGGACAAUGGGCGAAAGCCUGAUCCAGCAAUGCCGCGUGUGUGAAGAAGGUCUUCGGAUUGUAAAGCACUUUCGACGGGGACGAUGAUGACGGUACCCGUAGAAGAAGCCCCGGCUAACUUCGUGCCAGCAGCCGCGGUAAUACGAAGGGGGCUAGCGUUGCUCGGAAUGACUGGGCGUAAAGGGCGCGUAGGCGGUUGAUGCAGUCAGAUGUGAAAUCCCCGGGCUUAACCUGGGAACUGCAUUUGAGACGCAUUGACUAGAGUUCGAGAGAGGGUUGUGGAAUUCCCAGUGUAGAGGUGAAAUUCGUAGAUAUUGGGAAGAACACCGGUGGCGAAGGCGGCAACCUGGCUCGAUACUGACGCUGAGGCGCGAAAGCGUGGGGAGCAAACAGGAUUAGAUACCCCAGUAGUC